rnacentral:rRNA from 1 species
CACGUAGGGGCCAAGCGUUGUCCGGAUUUAUUGGGCGUAAAGAGCUCGUAGGCGGUUGGGUAAGUCGGGUGUGAAAACUCCAGGCUCAACUUGGAGACGCCACCCGAUACUGCUCUGACUUGAGUUCGGUAGGGGAGUGGGGAAUUCCUGGUGUAGCGGUGAAAUGCGCAGAUAUCAGGAGGAACGCCGGUGGCGAAGGCGCCACUCUGGGCCGAAACUGACGCUGAGGAGCGAAAGCGUGGGUAGCAAACAGG